AAGCAUGAUUGGGACAUUCUACUAGUAAACUCUUGAAUCUCUUGUAAGUGUCACGAAGAGAUUCUCCCUCUUUCUGUUUGUAACUGGAAAUCUCUUGCCUUUUUCU